rnacentral:rRNA from 1 species
UACGGAGGGUGCAAGCGUUAUCCGGAUUCACUGGGUUUAAAGGGUGCGUAGGCGGGCAGGUAAGUCCGUGGUGAAAUCUCCAAGCUUAACUUGGAAACUGCCGUGGAUACUAUUUGUCUUGAAUAUAGUGGAGGUGAGCGGGAAUAUGUCAUGUAGCGGUGAAAAUGCUUAGAUAUGACAUAGAACACCCAUGCGAAGGCAGCUCGCUACACUAUUAUUGACGCUGAGGCACGAAAGCGUGGGGAUCAAACAGG